CCAGCACUCUAACUUUUGUCAUAAGAAAAUGAUGCACACAGAAGCAACCUAUAUGCUGUGCUCUGUUAUCUACUGAUGCCUGUGUUCUCCUCAACACUGUGGCAGUCAACUAUCUGGAGGGAUAUGGAGCUUAGUGGGAAGCUGCCACAUCUUCACUUUUGCUUCAAUAAGGUUCUAACCAUGAAAACUGCACUCCAACUAGAGAGAAUAAUUUCCAUUCUCAAACUCUGGAGCUUGUUUUCCUCUUCUUUUUCUUUAUAUUUUCUUCCCCCUCCCCUUUUUCUCCUUUCCCUUCUCCUUCUUCCUCUUCUCCUUCUCCUUCUUCUCCUUCUUCAUCCUCUUUUCCUCUUCCUUCUCUCUUUCCCUCUUCUCUCCCUUCUCCUCUCCUCCUCCUCAUGCUCCUUCAUAUUCUUCUUCAAUAUAGGGGGUAAUUUUAUUUGGAUAAAAGAAAAUUAUCAGAUUAUUCUAUACUUAGGGCCUACUGUCAUCUUCCCAAACUCUGCUAGGCAACAUUCUCUACAACAAUCGCUUGUCUCAUACUUCUUGCUUUACUUAGAAAACACAUUCAUUUCCCAAAGGCUAAUUAAAGAAAUAUAAAAGUUAGAGUUACAGUUUGUAUAUUCUCAUUAGCAAAUCACCAACCCAGGGGACAAGAACAAGUUAGGAGCAUCUCUACCAAAAAUCUAAGGAAUUGCAAUCCAUGUAAAGACACUACGUUAAGUGUUGCGUGUGUUACCUUCUUUACAAAUUAGAGUCCUCACUGCUGGAUUGAGGCUGGCCUAAUGAAGUUGUAAAAUGAAGAUAUAUUAAUUCUUUACCUGGUGCUUUUAUUAAGGAAAGUUAUCUAAAUCAUUUAAUGAAAAUCAACUAAAUGUAUUACCUCCUACAUUAGGAAUACAGUGACACAGAAGAAGAAAAACAACUCUUGGAUAAUGACUCUGGGCAGAAAAGGGAGAUGAGAUUGCAAACAAAAUAUCCCAAAAUAGGUUUGGAGAGAAAAUGAGAAAGAAAGAGUCUUGGUGAUUGAAGGGAAUUAGAAAUGAUAGAAGAAGGGGAGAUACAUAGCUCUCUCUUGGUUGAUUAUCUUGCACUGAGGAAUUUCUAUGAGAACGGAUCUAGGGAAGUACAACUUAGUCCAGGUUAGAUGACUUUCAGAGGCAAUUUCUGCAUAGAACUAGAUUCCUCAGUAUUCAGAAGAAGUAUGGUAGAAGUUUGCCCGGAUGGCACAAACUGGAAUGCCUGUAUGAGCUGAUUUACCCUGACUGACGUUCAGAUUGACUGAUCGGUAGGAUUUUGCUGUUAUUCACCCACAUCUCCAGUUUGUACUAGCCUAGAAACCUUCUAUUUGAUGACUUAUUUGUCCCAUUUUGUCUCAAAUACAUAGAAGGGGCGAAAAACAUUAUUCUAGUGGGAGGUUUCUGUCACUUUUGUUCAUUCUGAAUUUGUACAGAAGGUAACACACACAACACUUAGGUGGCAUCUAUAUGGUUGUUAUUUCAUUAGAUUUCUAGUAGAGAUGCCUCUGACCUGUUCCUGUUCCCUGCCAAACCAAUUCUGAGAGCCUGAUUAAGGCAACAGGGUCUUGAGGUCAAGAUUCCACAAGCCACCGUUGACUAAUUAAAUAUCACAACGUAACAGCUAAACUUCCUCUUUGUAGCUUCAGAGACUCCAUAGCACAAAUCUUCCCCCUAAAUCAUAUAAACUUGAUAAAUAAAGCAGCAUGCAUAUAACUGAGCAUAUAUUUUGAAAUGCUUCUAAAAAGUAGAACAUCAAUUUAAAGCAUUAAAAAAAUGUUAGACUUCUUUCUUUUUUUUUUUUUUUUUUUUGAGAUGGAGUCUCGCUCUGUUGCCGAGACUGGAGUACAGUGGUGCAAUCUCGGCUCACUGCAAGCUCUGCCUCCCGG
rnacentral:lncRNA from 1 species